rnacentral:lncRNA from 1 species
GAGCUGCAGAGAGCAAGGGAUAGCGUGGCUAGGAUGAGAGACAUGGUUCGUGAGCGAGCUUUUGGGAUACUAGAGGAUGCUACCAUGCUGGUGGAUGAGGUGAUGGACGAGGCCUCAGAGGUAGCUCCUAGUGCUGAGGAGGAUCCAGAGGAGGACCCGGAGGAGGAUCCAGAAGAGGAUCCUGAUGAGGGGAAUCCAUCUGAUGGUCCCGCUGAGGACUAGGCUUAGUUAGACUCUCUUUUGACUUGUAAUUUGUAAACAUUGGUUGGGAUGGUGCUAACUCUUGGGCCAUUGUAUUUUUGUAACUGUAUGGCUUGCUUUUGUGGUGAUUGCACUUCUUUUGAUCAUGAAUGACUGGUUGCACCUUGUAGCACCUUUGUGCUAUAUUUUUGUAAAAUCCCAACGAAAUGCUAAUUGUAGGAAUUUCGAAUGUUAAUAUA